CCCCAUCCGUGCCGGAGUUAACACAAUAAGUAAUCCACCUGGGGAGUACGACCGCAAGGUUGAAACUCAAAGGAAUUGACGGGGGCCCGCACAAGCAGUGGAGUAUGUGGUUUAAUUCGAAGCAACGCGAAGAACCUUACCAGGUCUUGACAUCCAACUAACGAAGCAGAGAUGCAUUAGGUGCCCUUCGGGGAAAGUUGAGACAGGUGGUGCAUGGUUGUCGUCAGCUCGUGUCGUGAGAUGUUGGGUUAAGUCCCGCAACGAGCGCAACCCUUGUGAUUAGUUGCUACGCAAGAGCACUCUAAUCAGACUGCCGUUGACAAAACGGAGGAAGGUGGGGACGACGUCAAAUCAUCAUGCCCCUUAUGACCUGGGCUACACACGUACUACAAUGGCCGCUCACAGAGGGAAGCAAGACCGCGAGGAGGAGCAAACCCCUAAAAACGGUCUCAGUUCGGAUCGCAGGCUGCAACCCGCCUGCGUGAAGCUGGAAUUGCUAGUAAUCGCGGAUCAUCAUGCCGCGGUGAAUACGUUCCCGGGCCUUGUACACACCGCCCGUCACACCAUGGGAGCCGGUAAUACCCGAAGUCGGUAGUCUAACCGCAAGGAGGACGCCGCCGAAGGUAGGAUUGGCGACUGGGGUGAAGUCGUAAC
rnacentral:rRNA from 1 species